rnacentral:rRNA from 1 species
CGCACGGGUGAGUAACACGUAUCCAACCUGCCGUCUACUCUUGGACAGCCUUCUGAAAGGAAGAUUAAUACAAGAUGGCAUCAUGAGUCCGCAUGUUCACAUGAUUAAAGGUAUUCCGGUAGACGAUGGGGAUGCGUUCCAUUAGAUAGUAGGCGGGGUAACGGGCCCACCUAGUCUUCGAUGGAUAGGGGUUCUGAGAGGAAGGUCCCCCACAUUGGAACUGAGACACGGUCCAAACUCCUACGGGAGGCAGCAUG